UGCGCAGGCGGAACUUUAAGUCAGUGGUGAAAUCUUGCCGCUUAACGGUAAAAUUGCCAUUGAUACUGAAGUUCUUGAAUAUGGUUGAGGUAGGCGGAAUGUGUUGUGUAGCGGUGAAAUGCAUAGAUAUGACACAGAACGCCGAUUGCGAAGGCAGCUUACUAAGCCAUUAUUGACGCUGAGGCACGAAAGCGUGGGGAGCGAACAGGAUUAGAUACCCUGGUAGUC
rnacentral:rRNA from 1 species